rnacentral:lncRNA from 1 species
UCACAACUUCCACACUGUGUCAUCUAAAUUUGUCCCAGAGUCACUCCAUCAUCUUGUUUGCUGGGGAGCCCAAUGUUUGUACCAAAUGGCUUUUUCAAAUGGAAUCAUGUCAUCUCUCAUUUUUUUUUUAAAAGAUCAAUAUGGAGUCAGGUACUCUACCCCUACUGCAUUUCUUCAUACACGUGGUUUAUUACCGUGGUUGGUUAAUGGCUUUUAUUGCAUUAGCUAUUUUAAAAGAGAAAGUAAGAUGUUUCCUCACAGAAAGGUUCUGUUGCUUGAAUUUCUCCAUGCCUGGAAGGAAGCCAUGAAUAGUGAAAAGGAAAUGCCUGAGACUGUCUUAGAGGAAGUGUAAAAUUUGGAAUAUUUUCCUCCUCCUUAAGUCAUGUCUAUGUUUUUAUCGACAACCUGUAAUUCAGAGGAUGUAACCUUAAUUAUUUAUUUCUUUAAGAAGUCUGUAGCUGAAAUCAUAACUGGAGAGGAAACAUUAAAUAUAUCGUGGGAGAAAAGGAAAGCACUGUGCUAAAGUGGUUACUCUGAACAGAGGCUACUGGAGCAUCCUGCUGAAAACUUCCUGUUUUGCUAUCAAGUUAGAAAACAAGAUUUUGAAUUAAGACCUCUAUCUUCUCCAAAUGCACUCUGUUCUUUCUCUAUGCCAUCGCAGAAACCUUUGCUUCUUGGAAACUCAUUGCAGUCCUAGAAUUUACAUACUAGAAGUAUCAUCUUCCUCCUCAUCCCUCUCAUGGUUUCCUGCUAAUUGAAUGGUUCUUCUCAGAUCCUCUAUUUUAAAAAGGGUACAUGUGUCCAUUCAUUCUUC